UACGGCGGGUGCAAGCGUUAUCCGGAUUUACUGGGUUUAAAGGGUGCGUAGGCGGGCAUGUCAGUCAGUGGUGAAAUACCGGAGCUUAACUUCGGAACCGCCAUUGAUACUAUAUGUCUUGAAUAUUGUGGAGGUAAGCGGAAUAUGUCAUGUAGCGGUGAAAUGCAUAGAUAUGACAUAGAACACCGAUUGCGGAGGCAGCUUGCUACGCAAAUAUUGACGCUGAGGCACGAAAGCGUGGGGAGCAAACAGG
rnacentral:rRNA from 1 species